rnacentral:lncRNA from 1 species
UUCCUAUCAAGGUCUAAAAUAUCAAUGAUAUCGGAAAUAUCGAUACUCCAAAAACACGGAAAUUUCGAUGGAAAUAUCGGGAUAAUAUCGAUAUUUUAGACCUUGCAUACCACAUAGACAUCAUACAACGAAUCAUCUAAUGCAUUGAGAAUAUAAUUUAUGCAGAGGAAAUCAUUAUGAUUCCAAGCAUCUAUAGCCCUCAAAGUUUAUGCAGGAAUAUCAUCUCCUUCUGCACUAGGCACAGUCUCAUGCAUGACAUUAGCUAGAUUCGAAGUUGUCAAAUAAAACAGUAUUUUCUGCUGCCAUCUUUUGAAGUUUCC